CCUACGGGAGGCAGCAGUGGGGAAUAUUGGGCAAUGGGCGCAAGCCUGACCCAGCAACGCCGCGUGAAGGAAGAAGGCUUUCGGGUUGUAAACUUCUUUUGACAGGGAAGAGCAGAAGACGGUACCUGUCGAAUAAGCCACGGCUAAAUACGUGCCAGCAGCCGCGGGAAUACGUAGGUGGAGAGGGUUAUUCGGGUUUAUUGGGUUGAAAGGGUGCGUAGGCUGUGAUGUAAGUCAGCGGUGAAAUGCCAGCGCUCAACGGGGUGAAGUGCCAUUGAUACUGCCUUGCUGGAGUGCGGAUGAGGUAGGAGGAAUGCGUGGUGUAGCGGUGAAAUGCAUAGAUAUCACGCAGAACACCGAUUGCGAAGGCAUCUCACGAAUCCGCGAUUGACGCUGAGGCACGAAAGCGUGGGUAUCAAACAGGAUUAGAUACCCGAGUAGUC
rnacentral:rRNA from 1 species